rnacentral:lncRNA from 1 species
CCAGAGAUACGAUUUUCACCAUGUGUCUGUUGUAGCCAAGGCCAUACAUCGCCUCCUACCGUGAGUAAAUUUGAAACCCCAUAUCCAUAAAAUGUUGUACUCACUUGGCAAUCCCAGAUCUGUUCUGGACUCUUGGUAUUCAGUCUAAAUUAUAAGCAGGCAUGAUGCUCAAUAUUGUAGCAAUGAACAUCAGGGCGCGUACUAAGUUCCAACUAAGAAAGUUCAGUUUGGCUAUUUGCCUUUUUUUACAUAGAUUAGAAUGAGUAGCUGCAAAAGAGUUCUGUCAUUUUGAGUUUUUGUGUAAGAGAAGGUACCAUCAACAAUCACGCAUAAUAUAAUAUGGAUAGCUUCAAACAUGUAGCUAUCCCAUGGGCUUGAGUUAUAUUACCGAAGCGGGGAUCUGUAUGUAUAAGUGUAAAGAUGUCCUAUAGUCAUUUUUUUGUAUGAUUUUCUAAGUGUUGCCUUUGUUGUCUUUACCUAAUGAUAACCCGCUAGCAAAUAGGUUGUCAGAAUCGCGAUUCUGUUAUACGAUUCUACGACUUUACGAUCCAAACUAACCCCUAUGAUUCUACGAUUUUAGUUCUUAGAAUCUACGUUUCUACGAUCCUGCUAGUGAAGAUUCUACGAUUUGCGAUCCUACCAUCGAAGCUCCGAUCCGAUUCAAGAUCGCGAUUCUGACAACCUUAGAAGUAAAUAAUUUGUUCCUUAUCUUAGCACCUAAUUUGCCUGCAUUAUGUUGUUAAUAGUAGCAUUUUUUGUUCAAAUUUUCAUCCUGUUGCGAAUCUGCAUGCCUUGUUUCUAAUUAUUUAAGUUCAGACUGUCCCUUCAAACGCCAUGAGUCAAGUCUAGGAUAUGUCAGCAUGAUGCUUCCACUCCCAACAUGAGACCAGAUUCUUUUAAUUUCGGGUAGGAAACUAUCAUGGUUAUUAUUUUACUCUCUGGAUGUUGCACAAAUGCUUGAACAAUUUCCUUGUAGAUUUCAGUGUAGUGGUUGCAAAAGUGUUGAUGGAAAUGGCUUAUUGAGUUGCCAAUUUUUAAUUGCAGGGACUGGUGAAGCACAAACAUGCGACAUGGCUUGGAGUAGACACCAACUCCAUGGUUCCAUUCUGCAAGAUGUGGCUUGGAUUACCGUGCUGCUGAGAACAGUGGCUGCGCUUGGUUUUGAAAUUGGGAAGGUUUAAUUCAAGAUUUUUAUAUCUUCCCCCUGUUUUUGUAUGGACAAUGUGUGUGCUGUUUAUAAAAUGUUUAGUUAUGUUUGGCUGAUGAGUAUAAACUCUUUUCUCUGCAUGUUUACCAUGAAUGAUGAAACACACAUCAGUUGGCUCACUUGAGUUCCUGUGCUAACUGAUAAUCCAUGCAGUCUCUUAUUCUGUAUGCUAUACAAGUUUGUUUUAGCGUCAUAUUGACUAGCAUUUAGAUAAUGUCAAACCAUGUCAAAUGAUGGGGUUGUGUGAAGCGGAGGUUACUUCUAUUUUAUCACGUCGCAUGUGAAGCUUAUGCAAGGACAUGCCAUUUUAGGUACUUUGCAUGAGAAUGCAAGAGCUCUGCUUUUG